GAUGAACGCUGGCGGCGUGCCUAAUACAUGCAAGUCGAGCGAACAGACGAGGAGCCUGCUCCUCUGACGUUAGCGGCGGACGGGUGAGUAACACGUGGAUAACCUACCUAUAAGACUGGGAUAACUUCGGGAAACCGGAGCUAAUACCGGAUAACAUGUUGAACCGCAUGGUUCAACAGUGAAAGACGGUUUUGCUGUCACUUAUAGAUGGAUCCGCGUCGCAUUAGCUAGUUGGUAAGGUAACGGCUUACCAAGGCAACGAUGCGUAGCUGACCUGAGAGGGUGAUCGGCCACACUGGAACUGAGACACGGUCCAGACUCCUACGGGAGGCAGCAGUAGGGAAUCUUCCGCAGUGGGCGAAAGCCUGACGGAGCAACGCCGCGUGAGUGAAGAAGGUCUUCGGAUCGUAAAACUCUGUUAUUAGGGAAGAACAAAUGUGUAAGUAACUAUGCACGUCUUGACGGUACCGAAUCAGAAAGCCACGGCUAACUACGU
rnacentral:rRNA from 1 species